rnacentral:rRNA from 1 species
UNUCACGAAGAACUCCGAUUGCGAAGGCAGCUUGCUGGACUGUAACUGACGCUGAGGCACGAAAGCGUGGGGAUCAAACAGGAUUAGAUACCCUGGUANNCCACGCCGUAAACGAUGAAUGCUAGCUGUUAGCGAUAUACUGUUAGCGGCACAGAGAAAUCGUUAAGCAUUCCACCUGGGGAGUACGCCGGCAACGGUGAAACUCAAAGGAAUUGACGGGGGCCCGCACAAGCGGAGGAACAUGUGGUUUAAUUCGAUGAUACGCGAGGAACCUUACCUGGGCUUAAAUUGCAGUGGAAUAACGUGGAAACAUGUUAGCCUUCGGGCCGCUGUGAAGGUGCUGCAUGGUUGUCGUCAGCUCGUGCCGUGAGGUGUCGGCUUAAGUGCCAUAACGAGCGCAACCCUCAUCGAUAGUUACUAACAGGUUAAGCUGAGGACUCUAUCGAGACUGCCGACGUAAGUCGUGAGGAAGGUGGGGAUGACGUCAAAUCAGCACGGCCCUUACGUCCAGGGCUACACACGUGUUACAAUGGGGGGUACAAAGGGCAGCUACCUGGCGACAGGAUGCUAAUCUCAAAAACCUCUCUCAGUUCGGAUUGGAGUCUGCAACCCGACUCCAUGAAGCUGGAUUCGCUAGUAAUCGCGCAUCAGCCACGGCGCGGUGAAUACGUUCCCGGGCCUUGUACACACCGCCCGUCAAGCCAUGGGAGCCGGGGGGACCUGAAGUAUGCAACCGUAAGGAGCGUCCUAGGGUAAAACUGGUGACUGGGGCU